UGGGGAAUAUUGGACAAUGGGCGGAAGCCUGAUCCAGCAACGCCGCGUGAGGGAUGACGGCCUUCGGGUUGUAAACCUCUUUCAGUACCGACGAAGCGGAAGUGACGGUAGGUACAGAAGAAGGACCGGCCAACUACGUGCCAGCAGCCGCGGUAAUACGUAGGGUCCGAGCGUUGUCCGGAAUUAUUGGGCGUAAAGGGCUCGUAGGCGGUUUGUCGCGUCGGGAGUGAAAACAGCGGGCUUAACUCGUUGCUUGCUUUCGAUACGGGCAGACUAGAGGUAUGCAGGGGAGAAUGGAAUUCCUGGUGUAGCGGUGAAAUGCGCAGAUAUCAGGAGGAACACCGGUGGCGAAGGCGGUUCUCUGGGCAUUACCUGACGCUGAGGAGCGAAAGUGUGGGGAGCGAACAGGAGUUAG
rnacentral:rRNA from 1 species